rnacentral:rRNA from 1 species
ACGGGAGGCAGCAGUGGGGAAUAUUGCACAAUGGGCGCAAGCCUGAUGCAGCAACGCCGCGUGAGCGAAGAAGGUCUUCGGAUCGUAAAGCUCUGUCCUUAGGGACGAAGAAGUGACGGUACCUAAGGAGGAAGCCCCGGCUAACUACGUGCCAGCAGCCGCGGUAAUACGUAGGGGGCGAGCGUUAUCCGGAAUUAUUGGGCGUAAAGAGUACGUAGGUGGUACAAAAAGCGUAGGGUGAAAGCGUGGAGCUUAACUCCAUUGAGCCUUACGAACUGAUGAACUAGAGUGCAGGAGGGGUAAGUGGAAUUCCUGGUGUAGCGGUGAAAUGCGUAGAUAUCAGGAGGAAGACCGGUGGCGAAGGCGACUUACUGGACUGUAACUGACACUGAGGUACGAGAGCGUGGGGAGCAAACAGGAUUAGAUACCCUGGUA